UAUGUACUCCCUCUGUUCCAAAUUACUUGACCCAUAUUUAUAAACACGAAUGUAUCUAGACACAAAAUAAGUAUAGAUACAUCUGUAUCUAGACCAAGUCAACUAAUUUGGAACGGAGGGAGUACAUG
rfam:Triticum aestivum genome assembly, contig: Triticum_aestivum_CS42_TGACv1_scaffold_513283_6BS